CCCGGAAUGUUACAUGCAUACAAGAUGCGAAUCGCAUAGGUAUAAUGCAAUAGGUAUAUGUGCAGAUAUAUUGUAGUGAUUCUUUUAAACGGCAAUGUUUCGUAAAAUUGUUAGAUGAUGGAGAGGGAACCACAUUUCCCUGCCCUAUGAUAUAAGGUUUAAACGGAUAUUCGAUCUCCAGCAAAAAUAUAAAAACUUUUGGCAAAGU